AGCCCCAGUGGCUUCCACUGCCCCUGGAGCAGGGCUGUGUUUAAGGGUGCAGCAGGCAAUGAGCAAGUGGUGUAAAGCCCUGUUAGAGAAUGAAAUGACAGUGACUGCCCGAGUGUCAUGUAUUACCCAGUGGUUCACCCUUUUGUCCCAGAGCCCAGAUGAGUGGAUGAUGAUGUCAGCAGGGAAGCACCCAUGGGGGCCAGUACUCUGAGAACAAGGGCUGUGGUCAAGGCCCCAGCAGCUCAGGUGCUGGUGCUGUGAGUCCAAUUGGUGAAGGUAAUUUCUGGGACUGGCCAAGGUAAGCCAGUUCAUUUGGGCCCUGGACAUAGUAUGCCACCAGGUACUUCCCAUGGUGUGAUUCCUGGGGUUGGGUCAAUGAUGAGACCUCAUACUGUC